CAUUCAACGAUUUCUCAAGGUGGCUUGGGAGUGUUGGUGAUCGCACUAGGUUUGGCACAGCUUACGGAAUGCCACAUCAUGCAUUUCGUCAAUACCGGUCGCCCCUGGAAGGCCUACAUUCUUCCAAUAUCGAGUCAUUUGAUAGAGUGAGUGCUAUGGACAUGGAGCAAAAGAUUGCCGAGCUAUCUAGCCAUUUUUUUAGGUCGGAAAAUCCUUUUUUUUAGUAGAAUUAUUGUAACUGCAGCAGAUGAUGCACCUGAUGCAACUAAAGGCAGUUGCUUUCCCUCAGUCACAUUUAAUUGUUUUGCAAUCUCCAUCACUGGUACUGUUGAUGCAACCAGCUGUUUGUUUACAGCAACAUCACCAACCUCAACAACUUUUUCAUGCUCACCCUCUCCAUCCUCUAAAGCUGCAACAACCAGUUCUUUCCCAUCAUUAGCAUCAGUUGGUUUUUCUUUUGUCAGUGCUAGUUGUUGCUGAUUUGCACUCUCUGCUACAACUGAUGGCAGGUGAAAAGAGGGGUAAGAAAACAAAUAAGGCUAAGGAGACGGGGGUUCCCCGGAGACCACCAGAAAACCUUGUGAUUAGAGAUAGAAGCCCGUCGCCACGUCUCCCACCACGCGGCGCUCCAUUGUUUAAUUAAUGUUGUUUGAAGCUAUCCCUUUUCUAUUUAUUAAAUGUUGUUUUGAUGUUUGCGAAGGUUGAAGUAGCUUAAUUAAUGUCUCUUGUGAAUGUUUGAUUGACGUUUUUAUUCAACUUUGAAGUAGUUUAGAAUUGAA